GACAGCCAACUGCGGGCCUGCAGGGCGGUGCCGCCAGCUCGGGCGGGGUCUGCGUCGGGCUCUGCCUGCCCCAUGCGCCCUCCCCGCUCCGCUACGGGGCCGAGCGAGGGUUCCCCCAACGGAGAGUCGCCUUGGAGCAGCGCAACGCGCCCCAACGUCCCGCACUGAAAGAUGCAUGAAAGACUCCCCAGACUUUGCCUAAUGUUUGGCCAUGGAAUUCUGCAUCUGCUCCCAUCAGUUGCUAGAAGAAGUCUCUCUGGCUUAUGCUUGGGUCUUGAUACCUGUAGGAGGCUGGAAGACAGAAAAUGAAAGAAGAUGGGUUUACCUGUGUACCUUUGGAUGUCAGGUGUAAAUGGCUUCCUAGGGCAGAUGCUCACAGCCAACCAUUGGACUGAGUACACCAACCCCAGUGGAGGAGUUAGAGGAAGGACCGAAGGAGCUGAAGGGGUUUGCAACCCCAUAAGAAGAACAAUAUCAACCAACUAGACCCCUUCUUCCCCCAGAGCUCCCAGGGACUAAUCCACUAUCUAAAGAGUACACAUGGAGGGACUCAUGGCUCCAGCAGCAUAUGUAACAGAGGAUGACAUUGUCUGGCAUUAAGAAGAGGAGAAGCCCUUGGUCCUGUGAAGGCUCAACGCCUCUGUGUAGGAAAAUGCCAGAGCAAUGAAAUGGGAGUGGGUGAGUGGGAAGGAGAGCAUCCUUGUAGUGGGUAGGGGGAAAUGGGAUAUGGGGGGACCAGAAAAGGGGAUAACAAUUGAAAUGUAAAUACAUAAAAUAUCCAAUAAAAAAUGGUCCCCUAGAAUUGCCAACCUCUGGAUAUUUCAUCCUCUUAUUGGUUUUCUUUUUCUAUCCAUUCAUAUCAGUAUAAUUGCUUCAUUACUGACUCUUAAGUUAUUCCAUUGAGUUUUUCUCUGCACACUUCCAUGAACUAGGAAUUACACACAUUAACACUAAUAUGGAGGUCAGAUGGGCACCUAUGAAAGCUAGCUUUGUGUCACUGGUUGGAAUAUAAUAACUAGUUGUUUAGCAAAACGAUAUUCUAGAUGUUUUUAUAAAGAUUUGGUAGAUGAGAAUAACAAUUGUGAGCUCUUGACUUUAUUAAGACAGAUGUAAAUCCAUAAUGUGUGUGAAUAUCAUCUAAUCAGUUGAGGGCCUUUUGUGUGAAAACUGGUUGCUCUAAGAAAAAGGAAUUAGAGACAGUAGCAUAGAGUUUCUGCCUCUUUAAGAUAGUGAGAGGAGCACCUCAAUGCUGCCAGCCAUGUAGCCUGAAUUCUUUUCAGAGACCUCCAUUCAAGUGAGGCUGGAUCCUGACAGACACAACAGAAAAGAAUUUCAGCAUUGGUUGACAGAGCCAAAG